UGCCAGCCGCCGCGGUAAUACGGAGGGUGCGAGCGUUAAUCGGAAUUACUGGGCGUAAAGCGCGCGUAGGUGGUCUGUUAAGUCAGCUGUGAAAGCCCUGGGCUUAACCUGGGAACUGCAGUUGAUACUGGCAGGCUAGAGUACGAGAGAGGGAGGUAGAAUUCCAUGUGUAGCGGUGAAAUGCGUAGAUAUAUGGAGGAAUACCAGUGGCGAAGGCGGCCUCCUGGCUCGAUACUGACACUGAGGUGCGAAAGCGUGGGUAGCAAACAGGAUUAGAUA
rnacentral:rRNA from 1 species